CGGCUUCCUACGGGAGGCAGCAGUAGGGAAUAUUGCGCAAUGGGGGAAACCCUGACGCAGCGACGCCGCGUGGAGGAUGAAGGCCUUCGGGUUGUAAACUCCUGUCAGAGGGGAGGAAACAUUCCGUUAACCACGGAAAUUGACUUAACCCUCAAAGGAAGCAGCCGCUAACUCCGUGCCAGCAGCGGCGGUAAUACGGAGGCUGCAAACGUUGUUCGGAUUUACUGGGCGUAAAGAGUUCGUAGGCGGUUGGGAUUAAUUAGACGUGAAAUACUUUGGCUUACCCAAAGAAUUGCAUCUAAUAUUACCCGACUUGAGUAUGAAAGGGGAGAGUAGAAUUGUAGGUGGAGCGGUGAAGUGCGUAGAUAUCUACAAGAAUACCGGAGGCGAAGGCGGCUCUCUAGUUCAUCACUGACGCUGAGGAACAAAAGCUAGGGGAUCAAACAGGAUUAGAUACCCCGGUAGUCCAAGCCG
rnacentral:rRNA from 1 species